rnacentral:lncRNA from 1 species
UGCACACAAGAAAACCAGCUUCUGGGAGAGGGGGAUGAUUGUUGGGACUUUGCGAAUUACCUAAACAGCCCAGGGCCGAGGCGCCGCCGCUCGCGUCCUGGUCCUCCUGCCGGGUGUGGGGCUCCCCUGCCCGAGAUGGCCAGCGGGCGCGCCGAGAGUAUCCUGGAGCCAUCUAGUCUUGCCUCGGAGGCGGGGUGGGCUUAUUUGUGCGGAGAAGAAACGGAUCUCUUAAUGGGGUGAGAUUUUUCCUCCGUACAUUGUUCCCAUUUCCGCAGUUUCACUUGGCCUCGGUUUUCUAGCAGAGUAAUCACCAAAUGAAAUUAGCUGGAGAGCGUUUGAUGGCGCAGAAUCACGGUCUGAAGAUGUUUACGCUGUAUGCCGGACGCGUUUGAUGGUGUUCUCUUCGGCACAAUUAAUUUUGCAAAGUUCAGAAAUGUGCCAGACAGAGCCCCUGGCACGCAGUCAGGACUCUACAGACACACCUUGAGUAGGAAACAGGCUUGUUUGUUUCAUCUGUGAUUUAUGUGAUGCACCAGCACCAAGGCCAACGUGUUUUUUAAAGACCUUUCGAUGAAACUCCAAAGCAAUUUAUAAAUUGGCAAAAUGAAGCUUGUUUUGUAAAAUAACUCUUCCUUGUUGAUCAUGUAAUUAAAUGGGCAACAAAACACCUGAAAGGACAUUUACUGAAAAGUAGACUCCCAAAACAAAAAUAUGUAUUUCACAGCUAGAUACGGUCGCUAUUAGCGUCCUAAUGGCCAACUCCAUCCAUGUGCGUAUUUUGAACACUAAAAACGCCUCCUGUUACCCCUAAGACCUUGUUUGGAUAACAUUUUUCUAUUAUAAGUACUCGAAACCAACCCCAUUUAAGAUGUUUACCCUUAUUCUUGAGUCCUUGAUGGUUUGGGAAAUUUAUCAUUAUUCAUAUUGCACAAUCCUGUCACUGUCUUUUCCAUUAGGCACAGUGCCUAAGGUCCACAAUAUUUUUAGAGGCCCACAAAAAAUAUUUUAAUUUCUUUUCAAAUCAGAAGGAAAAAAAAUUUAGGUUUAAGAAAGUAUUUUAAUAUAUAUUAAUAUAUUUGUUUUUGUGCUAAUACAAUCUUAAAAUGUAUGUAUAUAUGUGUGUGUGUAUAUGUAUAUAUAUUUUAAUGGAGUAAGGGGCUCAACGAAGGCAAAAAGGCCUAGAGCCCAAGAAAAACAUGAUGUGGCCCUGUUGCCUGGGGUUGAAAAAUCCCAUUCCAUGAGAAGAAUUUAGUUUUAAGAAUAUUACAUAAAAUGCUCAUUUCUGUGGCCUUGCUAUAAUAGAAAGAUGGAGAUUCAGAGUAGUGAUAAUGGCUAACAUCCACCUGAUACACACCAUGUGUCCAUUACCUCUUAAUCCUCACAGCACACCUGUGAAAUAGGUACUAUUCUCACACUUAGGGGGUAAUGCAGGUUUUGUGGGGCCUGCAAUUUAUGCAAUUUGGGUGGUCCUCUUAAAGAAAAAGCAAAUACUGUGUAUUAGUCCGUUCUCACACUGCUAUAAAGAACUGCGCGAGACUGGGUAAUUUAUAAAGGAAAGAGGUUUAAUUGACUCACAGUUCCACAUGGCUGGGGAGACCUCAGGAAACUUAACAAUCGUGGUGGAAGGAGAAGCAAGUACCUUCUUCACAAGGAAGCGGAAAGAAUUGUGAGCGGAGGAACUUGCCAAACACAAAACCGUCAGAUCGCGUGAGAAUUCAGUUACUAUCACGAGAACAACACGGGAAAACUGUCCCCAUAAUCAAGUCAUUUCUCUCCCUAACAAGUGAGGAUUACAAUUCAAGAUGAGGUUUGGGUAGGAACACAAAGCCUGACCCUAUCCCACAGCAUGUCCAGGCUGCCCUAGCACCACCCAAUAGAAGGGAAAAUGGCAGAGGGAAAGUCCUAGUGGAAAGAGACCUCAGUCUCAGCUAAUUGUGGUGACAAUAUAUUGCUUUUGCAAAUUGUACAUAAACAUAUGACCAGGUGAAUGUAUCGCCAAGGCUCCUGCCAAGGCCUGGGAUGGAGGCCUAGAGAAGAUGCCCGAAAGUUUAUGCUGUGUGAGCUUCACAGAAGACCUGCCUUCCAUGUAUACCCAUUUUACAGGUGUCUGUGCGGUGCAGAAACUGUACAACUGUAUACAGUGACCAUUUCUACUCUGGGUCUCUAAACAAGGGCUGGUAUCGUUACAGAGACUGAAGACUGAGGAAGACCAUCUCUGUAGGAUGCCAAGGAUUGACUGGAGAAAGUCUGGGGUCCCUCUACCUGGGAUGUGAUUCAGUACCCAAUGGUGGAGCGGUCGUUGAGGAAUGAAGACACAUACAAAGGGUAAAGGAGCAGAAUUUUCCACAAAUGAGUUCAUUUAUAAAGAGAAAGGCAAGCUUUGAUGACAACACCUUCACAAAAUGGAGGCCUUUGAAAACAUUGGUCUGGAUUGAGGAGUAUGUUCCCCUGCCCGGAUCUUUCAGUUCCUCCCUACAGUGUAUUCAGCUUGAUUCCAGCCUGAGUGUCCAGGCAGUUGGUACCCACAGCCCCUUCUGGGCCCCAGGGGAAGGCAUCCUUCCCCUCCCUCCUCCCUGAGGCUCUGAGGUGGCUGGCCUCCUGCCUGGCUGUGCCAGAAAGCAGCAUGACCACCAGCACUACUGUGGUUAGGACAAGAAGAAAAUCUCGGGCAUUCACAGCUAAACUAUGGUUUGAGAAAUGCUGGCGACUAAGGGUUGGCUGGGUAAAGGAAUAAGAAUAGCAGCUGCAAUGCACUCUUUGACUCUGCCUCUCCCAAAACAGUCCCUAAAAGGACCAUAGAAAGGAUCACAAUGUUCACGGCUGGGCUUGGCAUAGUCUUAGUCCUGGGGUGAGGGCUGGUGAGAAACCCACAAGGGUUUCUUUUGGGGUCUUUCUGAGGGUACUAAAGGGAGUCUCAUGGCCCAUCCUACUUCUAAGUAGCACUCUUUUGGCCCUAAGAAAGACCUGCUGGAAGUCAGGAUUUUUUUUCAGUCCAGUUUAAAAUCCCAGAUGAAAUUAGCCGAGUGUGGUGGCAUGCGCCUGUAAUCCCAGCUACUUUGGAGGCUGAGGCAGGAGAGUC